UACGGGGGGGCUAGCGUUGUCCGGAAUCAUUGGGCGUAAAGAGCGUGUAGGCGGUCCGGUAAGUCCGCUGUGAAAGUCGGGGGCUCAACCCUCGAAUGCCGGUGGAUACUGUCGGGCUAGAGUGCGGAAGAGGCGAGUGGAAUUCCUGGUGUAGCGGUGAAAUGCGCAGAUAUCAGGAGGAACACCUAUUGCGAAGGCAGCUCGCUGGGACGUUACUGACGCUGGAGACGCGAAAGCAUGGGGAGCGAACAGG
rnacentral:rRNA from 1 species